UAAAAGCUUUCAUGGUGUAGC
rnacentral:siRNA from 1 species